UACCAGCACCCCGAGUGGUCGGGACGAUUAUUGGGCCUAAAGCAUCCGUAGCCGGUCAUGCAAGUCCUCCGUUAAAUCCAGCUGCUUAACAGAUGGGCUGCGGAGGAUACUAUAAGACUAGGAGGCAGGAGAGGCAAGCGGUACUCAGUGGGUAGGGGUAAAAUCCGUUGAUCCAUUGAAGACCACCAGUGGCGAAGGCGGCUUGCCAGAAUGCGCUCGACGGUGAGGGAUGAAAGCUGGGGGAGCAAACCGG
rnacentral:rRNA from 1 species